GGACUGUCAAACAAAAUUAUGUGAACAUACUCUUGAUGCUUUUACGACUGAGACAAGCUUGUGAUCACCCUCUUCUUGUUGGAGGCUCCAACUCCGGUUCUGUUUGGAGAUCAUCUAUUGAGGAGGCCAAGAAAUUACCACGAGAGAAAUUAGCUGACCUUUUGAAUUGCUUGGAAGCUUCUUUAGCAAUUUGUGGCAUAUGCAGUGAUCCCCCUGAAGAUGCUGUUGUAACAGUUUGUGGACAUGUCUUUUGCAAUCAGUGCAUUAGUGAGCAUCUAACCGGUGAUGACACUCAGUGUCCUGUAUCUGCUUGCAAAGUUCAGCUGAGUGGUUCUUCAGUUUUCACUAA
rnacentral:misc_RNA from 1 species